rnacentral:lncRNA from 1 species
CGAUGAAACUUGGUCUCUGUUGUUGCUCUCCUUAAUUUAGGAUUUAAUCUUAGCUUUCAUAGUAAUGGUUUGGAUCUGUAUUUAGGAUAGAUCUGUUAUGGUUAUGGUUAUGUGUUGGAUAACUUUGUUGUACUUGAUAUGGAUGAUCGUAGCUAUGUUAAUUAUAUGGAUUGCUGUUUUUUUUCUAAUUUGUCCGUUUUUAACGUUAAUG